UAGGAGGUCCCGCCUGCCCUGUGACUAAUAGUUUAACGGCCGCGGUAUUUUAACCGUGCAAAGGUAGCGUAAUCACUUGUCUUUUAAAUGAAGACCCGUAUGAAUGGCAUCACGAGGGCUUAGCUGUCUCCCUUUUCCAGUCAAUGAAAUUGACCUCCCCGUGCAGAGGCGGGGAUAAGCACAUAAGACGAGAAGACCCUGUGGAGCUUUAGACCUAAAAUAAGCUACGUUUAACAGCCUGUAAAAUCAGAAAUAACUUAGUAGUCUUUAUUGAAGUGUCUUUGGUUGGGGCGACCGCGGGGUAAAACACAACCCCCAUGUGGACCGGGGAUACUAUCCCUAAUACCAAGGGCCUCCCCCCCAAGUAACAGAACUUCUGACCUUAUGAUCCGGCACAGCCGAUUAACGAACCGAGUUACCCCAGGGAUAACAGCGCAAUCCCCUCUAAGAGCCCAUAUCGACGAGGGGGUUUACGACCUCGAUGUUGGAUCAGGACAUCCUAAUGGUGCAACCGCUAUAAAGGGUUCGUUUGUUCAACG
rnacentral:rRNA from 1 species